rnacentral:rRNA from 1 species
GACGAACGCUGGCGGCGUGCCUAAUACAUGCAAGUCGAGCGGAUGACAGAGGAGCUUGCUCCUCCUGAUUCAGCGGCGGACGGGUGAGUAACACGUGGGCAACCUGCCCUGUAGAUUGGGAUAACUCCGGGAAACCGGGGCUAAUACCGAAUAAUCCUUCGGACCUCAUGGUCCGAUGUUGAAAGACGGUUUCGGCUGUCACUACAGGAUGGGCCCGCGGCGCAUUAGCUAGUUGGUGAGGUAACGGCUCACCAAGGCCACGAUGCGCAGCCGACCUGAGAGGUUGAUCGGCCACAUUGGGACUGAGACACGGCCCAAACUCCUACGGGAGGCAGCAGUAGGGAAUCUUCCACAAUGGACGAAAGUCUGAUGGAGCAACGCCGCGUGAGUGAAGAAGGUUUUCGGAUCGUAAAACUCUGUUGUCAGAGAAGAACGUGUGCGAGAGUAACUGCUCGUGCAGUGACGGUAUCUGGCCAGAAAGCCACGGCUAACUACGUGCCAGCAGCCGCCGUAA